AGAGUUUGAUCCUGGCUCAGGAUGAACGCUGGCGGCGUGCCUAACACAUGCAAGUCGAACGGACUUACACAGAAGCAGGAGAUGCUUGCAUUGACUAACGGAAGUGUAAGUUAGUGGCGGACGGGUGAGUAACGCGUGGGCAACCUGCCCCAUACCGGGGGAUAACACCUGGAAACAGGUGCUAAAACCGCAUAAGCGCACAGCUUCGCAUGAAGGUGUGUGAAAAACUCCGGUGGUAUGGGAUGGGCCCGCGUCUGAUUAGCUGGUUGGCGGGGUAACGGCCCACCAAGGCGACGAUCAGUAGCCGGCCUGAGAGGGUGGACGGCCACAUUGGGACUGAGACACGGCCCAAACUCCUACGGGAGGCAGCAGUGGGGAAUAUUGGACAAUGGGGGAAACCCCGAUCCAGCGACGCCGCGUGAGUGAAGAAGUAUUUCGGUACGUAAAGCUCUAUCAGCAGGAAAGAAAAUGACGGUACCUGACUAAGAAGCCCCGGCUAACUACGUG
rnacentral:rRNA from 1 species